CCAUUUUGUUUUGGACUGUUAAGUGGGCUUGUGGUGGAGCGUUGGUGUGUCAGGGGUGUCGACUUCUUCCACAAACUAUUUAAGAGACAGCAGCAGGAGGGACUGGACUGGAUUGUAGAAAACUUCAAGAGUUAAGGAGUGCGGAGUGCUGCUCAGGUGCCUUUGUUUCAGGUCAUAGUCUCUGCUCUAUACAGCAGCCAACCACAGGGGUUGAUUGGGUCUCUGUUACCCAAGCUGAAGUGUAGUGAUGCAAUCACAGCUCACUGCAGCCUUGACCUCCUGAACUCAAGUGAUCCUCCCACCUCAGCCUCCUAACUGCGGCUACAGAUUCCCUGUCUCUGCUUUAACCUGGGCUGCUUGCUAAGUGCUUGCCUCUCAGGAUCCUUGUGGAGAAUUGGACCUGUGGUCAUGGAUGUUCCCAGGAUGACCUUGACCCAACAAUGAUUGUUGGAAUAAUCAAUGGCAAGAAUUAACU
rnacentral:sRNA from 1 species